UGACUACCCAACUGCUCCCAACCAAGACCUUCGUAGGCAGUAUAAUACUUCGUCUUUCUAUCCAGUAGUGAGGGAUUACUGGAAAUAAAUAUCGCA
rfam:Prochlorococcus phage P-HM2, complete genome.